GAUGAACGCUAGCGGCAGGCCUAAUACAUGCAAGCCGAACGGCAAGUUUGAUAGCAAUAUUGGACCUAGAGUGGCGCAAGGGUGCGUAACACGUAUGCAACCUGCCCGCGACAGGAGGAUAGCUCCCCGAAAGGGGAAUUAACCCUCCAUAACACCAUGAGAAGGCAUCUGAUUAUGGUUAAACCGCAAGGGGUCGCGGAUGGGCAUGCGGUUGAUUAGCUAGUUGGCGGGGUAAAGGCCCACCAAGGCGGUGAUCAAUAGGGGUUCUGAGAGGAAGGUCCCCCACACUGGCACUGGGAUACGGGCCAGACUCCUACGGGCGGCAGCAGUAGGGAAUAUUGGACAAUGGUUGCAAGACUGAACCAGCGAUGCAGCGAGCAGGAAGAAGGCCUUCUGGAUCGUAAACUGCUUUGAACUGUGGAUAAAAUACCCGUGCGCGGGGAAUUGAAGGUAACAGGGGAGUAAGCCACGGCUAACUACGUG
rnacentral:rRNA from 1 species